GCUAACGCGUGAAGGCGAGCGACUCUAGACGAACUGCCGUUGCAAAACGGAGGAAGUGGGAUGACGUCAAAUCAUCAUGCCCUUAUGUUCUGGGCUACACACGUGCUACAAUGGCCGGUACAGACGGACGCAAAGCCGCGAGGCGGAGCAAAUCCGAAAAAAGCCGGUCUCAGUUCGGAUUGCAGGCUGCAAUUCGCCUGCAUGAAGUCGGAAUCGCUAGUAAUCGCAGGUCAGCAUACUGCGGUGAAUACGUUCCCGGGCCUU
rnacentral:rRNA from 1 species